rnacentral:rRNA from 1 species
GACGAACGCUGGCGGCGUGCUUAACACAUGCAAGUCGAACGGAAAGGCCCUGCUUUUGUGGGGUGCUCGAGUGGCGAACGGGUGAGUAACACGUGAGUAACCUGCCCUUGACUUUGGGAUAACUUCAGGAAACUGGGGCUAAUACCGGAUAGGAGCUCCUGCUGCAUGGUGGGGGUUGGAAAGUUUCGGCGGUUGGGGAUGGACUCGCGGCUUAUCAGCUUGUUGGUGGGGUAGUGGCUUACCAAGGCUUUGACGGGUAGCCGGCCUGGGAGGGUGACCGGCCACAUUGGGACUGAGAUACGGCCCAGAGUCCUACGGGAGGCAGCAGUGGGGAAUAUUGCGCAAUGGGCGGAAGCCUAAUGCAGCAACGCCGCGUGCGGAAUGACGGCCUUCGGGGUGUAAACCGCUUUCGCCUGUGACGAAGCGUGAGUGACGGUAAUGGGUAAAGAAGCACCGGCUAACUACGUG